AGGGUUGCACUGUAUUACAUUUUUAAAAAAAUAUUACUCAGCUUGGGUUUAAAAUGUAAUGCUUGCUUUUUUUUUUUCUUUUUUUUUUUUUUAUCUUUCGGCCCAAGAACUUGCCAGUCAAGAUGAAAAACUUCUUCUAAUGGAAUCCAGCUUGAAAGCAACUCAAGAGCAGCAAAGUGAGCAAAUAGCAGAAACAGUUCGCCAAGAACAGAACAGUAGAAAAUCACAGACAGAGCUGAAGACCCUGCAAGAACAUAUUGUAGCUUCCGAAGAAGAAAUUAGUGAUUGCAAAGCCCAGAUGAGUACUUUAUAUAGGAACUUGGCUGCAAACAGAAGCCUGUUCGUUUGGUGGUGGACUGAACGUUUAAAGCUAAAUGUUUUAUCUCAGAUUUGUGGCAAGCAUCAAAGACUCUCAGCAAAUCUCCUCUGACAGUAAGUUUGAGGCAUCAUGGUGUGCACCAUAUGGAUCUAAAACUGAACAGAAUUGCUCCCAGCUAUUGCAAAAUGUUCACUUCGUUUACCAUUGUCAAACUUAUGAUUGAAUAAUUCCAAUUUUCUCUGAAAAAUCCAGGAAAAGUGUGGAGAACUUUAAGGUAAGAAUAACAGCAUCAAAAAUAAAGGACAAAUAGCAGCUUCUCA
rnacentral:lncRNA from 1 species